GUGCAGUAGGUAAGACUUAUAAAACUAACUUCCUUUCACAUUUGCUGAAACUGACCUUAUGUUCGAGUAGAACUAUAUUUUAAAAUAAAUCUAGC